rnacentral:rRNA from 1 species
GACGUAGGGCGCGAGCGUUGUCCGGAUUUAUUGGGCGUAAAGAGCUCGUAGGCGGCUUGUCGCGUCGAAUGUGAAAACGCGGGGCUCAACUCCGCGCCUGCAGUGGGUACGGGCAGACUAGAGUGGCAGUAGGGGAGACUGGAAUUCCUGGUGUAGCGGUGGAAUGCGCAGAUAUCAGGAGGAACACCGGUGGCGAAGGCAGGUCUCUGGGCAUUAACUGACGCU